rnacentral:rRNA from 1 species
UGCCUAGAAGCAGCCAUCCUUGAAAGAGUGCGUAAUAGCUCACUGGUCAAGCGAUCCUGCGCCGAAAAUGAACGGGACUAAGUAACAUGCCGAAGCUGUGAACUUGUACUUGUACAAGUGGUAGGGGAGCGUUCUACGUUAGGGUGAAGCAUUAGCGAGAGCAGGUGUGGACGAAGUAGAAGUGAGAAUGUCGGCUUGAGUAGCGAAAACAUUGGUGAGAAUCCAAUGCCCCGAAACCCUAAGGGUUCCUCCGGAAGGCUCGUCCGCGGAGGGUAAGUCAGGGCCUAAGGCGAGGCCGAAAGGCGUAGUCGAUGGAUAACGGGUUAAUAUUCCCGUACCAUUAUUUGUUGAUAUCGAGGGACGGAGAAGGCUAAAUCAGCCGGAUGUUGGUUACCGGUUUAAACUUUAAAGGUGUAGAAGAAUGGCGAAAACAUUCUGAGCUAAGGAGUGAGUACAAAGCACCAAGGUGCUAAAGUGAUUGAUGUCAUACUUCCUAGAAAAGCUCGAAAUAUCUUAAAUAAUAAAUACCUGUACCCUAAACCGACACAGGUAGGUAAGUAGAGUAUACUAAGGGGCGCGAGAUAACUCUCUCUAAGGAACUCGGCAAAAUAACUCCGUAACUUCGGGAGAAGGAGUGCCUUAUUUAUAAGGUUGCAAUAACAAGAUCCAAGCAACUGUUUACCAAAAACACAGGUCUCCGCUAAGUCGUAAGACGAUGUAUGGGGGCUGACGCCUGCCCAGUGCCAGAAGGUUAAAGAAGUUGGUCAGUCUUCGGAUGAAGCUAGCGACUGAAGCCCCGGUGAACGGCGGCCGUAACUAUAACGGUCCUAAGGUAGCGAAAUUCCUUGUCGGGUAAGUUCCGACCCGCACGAAAGGUGUAACGAGUGGGGCACUGUCUCAACCAGAGACCCGGUGAAAUUGCGGUGGCCGUGAAGACGCGGCCUUCUUAUAGCAGGACAAAAAGACCCCGUGGAGCUUGACUGUAGCUUGUCAUUGAGUCAGGGUGUGUUUUGCAGAGGAUAGGUGGGAGGCUGGGAAGCUGGGCUUGCGGGCUCGGUGGAGCCGCUGGUGGAAUACCACCCUAAAUACACUUUGUCCCUAACCGAUGACCGUGAACCGGAAUCGGGACCGUGACAGGUAGGCAGUUUGACUGGGGCGGUCGCCUCCAAAAGAGUAACGGAGGCGCCCAAAGGUACCUUCAGGCGGAAUGGAAACCCGCCUUCGAGUGUAAAGGCAUAAAGGUGCUUGACAGCAAGACCUACAAGUCGAGCUGGCACGAAAGUGGGGCUUAAUGAUCCCACGGUUCCGAGUGGAAGGGCCGUGGCUUACCGGAUAAAAGCUACCCCGGGGAUAACAGGCUAGUCUUCGCCAAGAGUUCACAUCGACGCGAAGGCUCGGCACCUCGAUGUCGGCUCGUCGCAUCCUGGGGCUGGAGAAGGUCCC